CGCGAUUCGCCCUUCGGGGUGCAGCAGGCGCGAAAACUCUACAAUGCAGGCAACUGCGAUAGGGGAACAUCGAGUGGCGUCCAUAUUGGAUGUCUGUCCCCCAGCCUAAAAAGCUGGGGUUAGCAAGGGCCGGGCAAGACCGGUGCCAGCCGCCGCGGUAAUACCGGCGGCUCGAGUGGUGGCCGAUAUUAUUGAGUCUAAAGGGUCCGUAGCCGGCUUUGCAAGUCUCUCGGGAAAUCCAGCGGCUUAACCGUUGGUCGUCCGGGGGGUACUACAUUGCUUGGGACUGGGAGAGGUAGGAGGUACUCAGGGGGUAGGAGUGAAAUCCUGUAAUCCUUUGGGGACCACCGGUGGCGAAGGCGUCCUACCAGAACAGGUCCGACGGUGAGGGACGAAAGCUAGGGGCACGAACCGGAUUAGAUACCCGGGUAGUCCUAGCCGUAAACGAUGCUCGCUAGGUGUCACAACAGUCGUGAACUGUUGUAGUGCCGUAGGGAAGCCGUGAAGCGAGCCACUUGGGAAGUACGACCGCAAGGUUGAAACUUAAAGGAAUUGGCGGGGGAGCAC
rnacentral:rRNA from 1 species